GGGCAUUCGGAAGGCUUGCACUCUGGGCUACUGGCAGGGAACAGCGUUUCUCCACUUCCGCCCAGGGGAAAGUCCCCGGACACGCGGCAGAAAGUGCCCUGGGUGAUCCCAGCGUCGGACUGCGCCCCGCUGGCCUCAGCCGAGACGUUCACCCGAACCGAGCUGGGCGGUGGCAGGUCGACUUUGUCAGCAUGACAGGCAUGCGAGCAGGCGGCGACUCGCGCACGACCAGAACGGGGCUCAUUCUCGGAAUGCA
rnacentral:RNase_MRP_RNA from 1 species